rnacentral:rRNA from 1 species
UGGCACUGCCCGGUAUGGCACUGCCCGGUAGCUAAAUGCGGAAGAGAUAAGUGCUGAAAGCAUCUAAGCACGAAACUUGCCCCGAGAUGAGUUCUCCCUGAGACUUAGAGUCUCCUGAAGGAACGUUGAAGACGACGACGUUGAUAGGCCGGGUGUGUAAGCGCAGCGAUGCGUUGAGCUAACCGGUACUAAUGAACCGUGAGGCUUAACCUU